rnacentral:rRNA from 1 species
AGUGAACGCUGGCGGUAGGCCUAACACAUGCAAGUCGAACGGCAGCACAGUAAGAGCUUGCUCUUACGGGUGGCGAGUGGCGGACGGGUGAGGAAUACAUCGGAAUCUACUUUUUCGUGGGGGAUAACGUAGGGAAACUUACGCUAAUACCGCAUACGACCUACGGGUGAAAGCAGGGGAUCUUCGGACCUUGCGCGAUUGAAUGAGCCGAUGUCGGAUUAGCUAGUUGGCGGGGUAAAGGCCCACCAAGGCGACGAUCCGUAGCUGGUCUGAGAGGAUGAUCAGCCACACUGGAACUGAGACACGGUCCAGACUCCUACGGGAGGCAGCAGUGGGGAAUAGUGGACAAUGGGCGGAAGCCUGAUCCAGCCAUACCGCGUGGGUGAAGAAGGCCUUCGGGUUGUAAAGCCGUUUUGUUGGGAAAGAAAAGCAGCAGGUUAAUACCCCGCUGUUCUGACGGUACCCAAAGAAUAAGCACCGGCUAACUUCGUG